AGAGUUUGAUCCUGGCUCAGGAUGAACGCUAGCGGGAUGCCUAACACAUGCAAGUCGAACGGUCCUUCGGGACAGUGGCAAACGGGCGAGUAACGCGUACUUAACCUGCCCAAGAGUUGGGGACAACUGUAGAGAUACAGCUAAUCCCCAAUAUCCCCUAAGAAAUGAAAAUACUUAGGGAAAAGAUUUAUCGCUUUUGGAGGGGGGUGCGUCCUAUCAGGUAGUUGGUUGAGGUAACGGCUCACCAAGCCUAUGACGGGUAGCCGGUCUGAGAGGAUGUCCGGCCGCAAUGGAACUGAGACACGGUCCAUACUCCUACGGGAGGCAGCAGUGGGGAAUAUUGGACAAUGGGCGAAAGCCUGAUCCAGCAAUCCCGCGUGGAGGAUGACGCAUUACGGUGUGUAAACUCCUUUUCUGGUAGAAGACGACUGACGGUAUACCAGGAAUAAGAGACGGCUAACUACGUGCCAGCAGCCGCGGUAAUACGUAGGUCUCGAGCGUUAUCCGGAGUUACUGGGCGUAAAGGGUCCGUAGCCGGAUCUAUAAGUCUGUUUUCAAAUUCUUUCGCUCAACGAAAGGCAGGGAAUAGAUACUGUAGAUCUAGAGGUUUUUAGAGGUUAGUGGAAUUCCCAGUGGAGCGGUGAAAUGCGUUGAUAUUGGGAGGAACGCCGAAAGCGAAAGCAGCUAACUAUAAUUCACCUGACGGUCAGGGACGAAAGCUUGGGGAGCAAACGGGAUUAGAUACCCCGGUAGUCCAAGCCGUAAAUUAUGUUCGCUAGGUGUCUUUGCGUAUGCAGGGGUGCCGUAACCUAACGGAUUAAGCGAACCGCCUGGGUAGUAUAUUCGCAAGAAUGAAACUCAAAGGGAUAGGCGGGGGAACACACAAGCAGUGGAUGAUCUAGAUUAAUUGGAUACAAAGCCAUAAAUCUUACCUAGAAUUGACAUGCAAUGUGUCAUAUAUGAAAGUAUAUUAGUUGUAGCAAUACAACGCUUUGCACAGGUGGUGCAUGGUCGUCGUCAGUUCGUGCCGCAAGGUGUCUAGUUAAUUCUAGGAACGAACGCAACCCUCGUUGUUAGUUAUUAUGUCUAACAAGACUGCCUUGGCAACAAGGAGGAAGGAGAGGAUGACGUCAGAUCCUCAUGCCCCUUACAUCUAGGGCUUCAUAGGUCAUACAAUGGGUAGUACAGCGAGAAGCAAUACCGUGAGGUGGAGCAAAUCUUUAAAGCUAUCCUUAGUUCGGAUUGUAGUCUGGAAUUCGACUACAUGAAGUUGGAAUUGCUAGUAAUGGCGGGUCAGCAUACCGCCGUGAAUAUGUCCCUGUUCCUUGCACUCACCGCCCGUCAAACCAUGGGAGUUGAGGCUCUCUGAAGAUCCGUUCGCGGGUUAAGGAGGGAAUCAAUGACUGGGGUUAAGUCGUAACAAGGUAACC
rnacentral:rRNA from 1 species